UACGUAGGGUGCAAGCGUUGUCCGGAAUUAUUGGGCGUAAAGAGCGUGUAGGCGGCUAGGUAGGUGGGUUGUGAAAACUGGAGGCUCAACCUUCAGACGUCGACCCAAACCCCCUGGCUAGAGUCCGGAAGAGGAGAGUGGAAUUCCUGGUGUAGCGGUGAAAUGCGCAGAUAUCAGGAAGAACACCCGUGGCGAAGGCGGCUCUCUGGGACGGUACUGACGCUGAGACGCGAAAGCGUGGGGAGCGAACAGG
rnacentral:rRNA from 1 species